UAGAUUUCUAUUUGAGCCAGGCUUAGAUGAAAAUUAAGUCCAUUUUUUGAGUCGAGCCUGAACAAUGGAGAUUAAUAUAAAUACUAAGUAUAGGCCCGACACGGUCCACGAACAAAUCUAGAUAGGAUGAACGUCUUUUUUUAAUGCAGGUAAUUCUAUAUGCCAUUCUAAUUUAAAUGAUGCAAACCAUGUUGUUACCCCUUAGUAUAUGUAAGACUAUUCAUGAGAAGGUUUAUUUGGACUUUAGGAAGGAUUUAAGAAAAAUCUCUCUUGUCAAAUGAGAGGAAGUAUGCCAACAUGUUAAAACUAGUGGUUUUAGGAUUGAGGAGAAUGCUAAAGCAAAACAUCUCCUUCAUCUACAAGUUUGGAGUGAGCCUUGUGACAAAUACGGAAUAUUUUUGGGCUUAGGUUCUUAGGCAAAAAAUACUGCAUGAUUGAUACUUGUCUUAUAUCGAUUGAUAGGGCUAACUGCUCUGUUUUUUGCUUGAAUGCGUUUUUGGAGUGAUAUAAGGCAAAGUCUCGCUUGGUCAAUAAGAGAUGAUACUAAUGGGUAACGGCUUUGGGAAGUACUUCAACAAUGGUUCACACCGAACUGGUGUACAUGAAGGUGAGACAGCUGUCAAACUUUCAAGAUGACUGUUGGCCCAUUCCAGAUACUUGGAAACUAUUGAUUCCACAAGGUAUGCAUAACAAAAUUUUCACAUCUUCCUUAAUUGAUAUGCUCCUCUCUCUUUUGUGAUUGUGUUACCAAUGGUGCAUUAUAUUUGGAAUGUUCUAUUGGAACAUUUGGAAAAAAGAAUAACAGAAAUGAAUGGGUCUUUGGAGCUGAACAUGCGAGCAUGGAAUCGAUCUUAGCACACUCUUGCUUGGACUAGACAUAUUUGUUUGAAUAGAGUAAAGGCUGCACCAGUAUGGAGAUCAGCAACCAGGCAGAGACACUCGCCAGCUGAGGAUCUUCAAGGAACCCCCUGCAGCUAUUGUUGUAGUAGCCUGUGAAUUGCAAUUUGUCCCAAAUGAUUUAUACUGUAAUGUUUUUGAUUCAUUAAGAGUUAGAUGCUUGCCUCUUCACCAUUAAAAAAAAAUAUGUAUAUAAUGACACCAUCCAG
rnacentral:lncRNA from 1 species